rnacentral:lncRNA from 1 species
AGACGACUGCAAUUAAAUGUGGUUCUUUGCUUUUCUAUGGCUAAGAAUUCUUAUAAAAAAGCUUGAUUAGGUAUUUCUUUAGUUAGCUAGAGGUCUUCUAUCUUGAAUGGAAAAAAGGUAGCAGUAGUGUUACUUGUAAAACCGGCCUUGCCCCCCUAAGGGAGCUCUUCUAGUUUGAAUAUGGUUCUUUGAGCAUAUAUGUUAUCACAAC